rnacentral:lncRNA from 1 species
AGAAAUUUGCUGAAGAUGCAAAUGUCACCUCCAUUUAUCAGGAAACCGUUGGAAAACAUCACUUCCUGAACCAGUCAUGCCAUCAACGUGGUUUUAAGCUUAUAUUUUCCUUAGUAAGCACGUCAAUCUUGAUGAAAUAUGUUUCUUGAUAUUAUUAACCAUUCCAUUUAGAUCCUGUAAUAAAAAAGCCACAACUCUUGAUAAAAAAAAAA